UACAGAGGUCCCAAGCGUUGUUCGGAUUCAUUGGGCGUAAAGGGCGCGUAGGCGGUUUGCUAAGUCAGUUGUGAAAGCCCGGGGCUCAACCCCGGAGAGUCGGCUGAUACUGGUGGACUAGAGUACGGAAGAGGUAGCUGGAAUUCCCGGUGUAGCGGUGAAAUGCGUAGAUAUGCGGAGGAACACCGAUGGCGAAGGCAUCCCCUGGGCCUGCACUGACGCUCAUGCACGAAAGCGUGGGGAGCAAACAGG
rnacentral:rRNA from 1 species